GAAAUGCGAUAAGUAGUGUGAAUUGCAGAAUUUAGCGAAUCAUCGAAUCUUUGAACGCACAUUGCGCCCCUUAGUAUUCCAUGGGGCAUGCCUGUUCGAGCGUCAUUUCAACCCUCAAGCACUGCUUGGUGUUGGGCGUUUGUCCCGCCUACGCGCGUGGACUCGCCUCAAAGUCAUUGGCGGCUGUUCCCCUUCGGCUCGUAAGCGCAGCACAGUCGGCGCCCGGAGCUCUGGUGGGAUGGCGUCCAGCAAGCUAUAUUUUCAGGCUUGACCUCGGAUCAGGUAGGGAUACCCGCUGAACUUAAGC
rnacentral:misc_RNA from 1 species